CCGGACAGAACGGAACAUCUGAAUUGAUAGUCGAAACAUUGCAUUUUCAACAGUUGUUGUUGUUAACAACAAUUUUUAUAAUACAUCAAUGUUUUGGUUUCAAUACUUUCUAAGAUUUUACACAAAAAUGACGCUUUCGUUGUUUCGUGUAUUUUAUUUAUUAUUAUUUUUAUAUGCACUUUUUUCACCAUGGCGUCCUAUUUGACCGCUUUGUGGAACGUUUUCCAGUUUUUAAAACUUUGGCUGUGUAUCAAGUAAGCAGAAUUGACAAUGGUGCGCGUUUCAUUUUGGAUAAGGCUUCGAGUUCCCAUAUUCGAUGUGCUUCCGGAAUCGCAGAUUGAGGCUUGCCUAAACUCUAGGCCUCUCACGCAACUUAGCAAUGAUCCGGAAGACUUGGAUGUUUUAACGCCAGGACAUUUUUUAGUACACCGUCCACUGACUGCUAUAGUGGAACCGUCUUACGAAGAAUCUAUCAACCGUUUGUCGCAGUGGCAGACAAUUCAAGAAUUCAUUCGUCGCCUCUGGAAGCGGUGGUCAAGUGAAUACCUGUCAGGUCUUCAGCAGCGGACUCGAUGGACACACGAACGAAACGACGUCCACGUUGGCACGAUGGUGCUAGUCAAAGACGACCAUUUGCCACCAAUGAAGUGGCGUUUCGGACGAAUAGUGGACACCACACCCGUACCCGACGGACACGUCCGUGUAGUCAACAUCCGCACCAAGGACGGCAUUUAUCAACGGGCAAUUACACGUAUUUGCGUUUUGCAGAUUCAAGACAACCAGCAACCUCAUAACGAGGUAGUCUAGUUCCAGUUGUUCGAGGUCCCAGAAAACCAGGCAAUGUUGGAUGGGAGGGGGCCUUAUGGUCCUCUCACAAGUUAAGUAUUAAGUUUCCAUAAAUUUUCUGGACCAAAUGUUUCCCGACCUAAAGUUGCUGUUUGUUGUCAGACUUAUGCGCUCGACGUCAGUGGAGGAGAGGAAGGUUCAACAUAGCCAACCUAUCAACCCCCAGCCGUUGGUCGAAAAUGUGUAGCAGAUUUAUACCGGCGUCCAGCAAUAGAAGCACACCGAUCGGCCAUCCCACAGCCGAUAGUUAAAUCCGACCUAUCUACCCACAACCGUUGGUCGAGGAAUUGCAUCUGGAUCCGAAUAAUAUCUCAUCAGAAUAAAUAUGAAUUUUGAAUUGUUCAUUUAUAGUUAGAGUAGAUAGACUUAGACAACACCAUCAAAAAGAGUUAGGCUGAAUUGAAACUGAAAUUUCAAUGGUGGGCGGUAUGUUGACGCGCAUGUCGAAAUUUGUUAGUCUACCCUUAAAUUAAUUGCACAGAGAUUUGAUCUAUCGCUCUCGUUUUGCAUAUCACAAAGCAGAGGAGAUUUUGAUUCCCUUUAGCUCUCAUCGCUCUGACCUAGGACAGGGAGAGUCAGUUGAAUAAAACUAUCAAACCGUGAUACAUCGCAUUUGUCUAUCGCGGUAAAUAAACGUAUGGAGUACUUUUUAUAUUAGUCACAGUAACGAAGCGAGUGUUCACUAACCACGAUAUCACCACCGAUAUAGUUCACGUUUUUUUUCUACCACGAUCCGGUGAACCAGCACCCAUC